rnacentral:rRNA from 1 species
AGUGAACGCUGGCGGUAGGCCUAACACAUGCAAGUCGAACGGCAGCACAGUAAGAGCUUGCUCUUACGGGUGGCGAGUGGCGGACGGGUGAGGAAUACAUCCGAAUCUACUUUUUCGUGGGGGAUAACGUAGGGACACUUACGCUAAUACCGCAUACGACCUACGGGUGAAAGCAGGGGAUCUUCGGACCUUGCGCGAUUGAAUGAGCCGAUGUCGGAUUAGCUAGUUGGCGGGGUAAAGGCCCACCAAGGCGACGAUCCGGAGCUGGUCUGAGAGGAGGAUCAGGCACACUGGAAGUGAGACACGGUCAAGAGUACUACGGGAGGCAGCAGUGGGGAAUAGGGGACAAGGGGCGAAAGUCUGAUACAGCGAUGCGGCGUGUGAGAAGAAGGUCUUGGGAUUGGAAAGCACGUUAAGUGGGGAGGAAGAGCAGUAAGUUAAGACCUUGCUGGUGUGACGGUACCGACAGAAGAAGCACCGGCUAACUUCGUG